AUUAAAUGAGAGUUUGAUCCUGGCUCAGGACGAACGCUGGCGGCGUGCCUAAUACAUGCAAGUAGAACG
rnacentral:rRNA from 1 species